UACGUAGGGUGCGAGCGUUGUCCGGAAUUAUUGGGCGUAAAGAGCUCGUAGGCGGUGUGUCGCGUCGGCCGUGAAAACCUGGGGCUUAACUCUGGGCGUGCGGUCGAUACGGGCAUCACUGGAGUUCGGCAGGGGAGACUGGAAUUCCUGGUGUAGCGGUGAAAUGCGCAGAUAUCAGGAGGAACACCGAUGGCGAAGGCAGGUCUCUGGGCCAUAACUGACGCUGAGAAGCGAAAGCAUGGGGAGCGAACAGG
rnacentral:rRNA from 1 species